GUUUUCUUGGGAAAGAGAAGACAUCAAACAGGCAUAUGAGGUAGAGGAUAAUAAAGAAUAUUACCUCCUUUUCAAGUACCUUGAUUUUUUUGAAGUUUUCUCGAAGUUGGUUUACCAGUUUCACAAUAACACAGAGCAACUAGAAGAUCAAAAUUCCUUGUAUGAGGGAAGAGUAUCUGUGGACCAGGCUGAAAUUUCUGAGGGGACUCUAUCACUUUUACUAAGAAAUGUGGAUUUCAUGGAUGAAGCUAUCUACAAGUGCUCAGCCAUCACACCAGAUGGAAGAGGUGAAAGUACAAUUAAGCUAAUAGUAGAAGACUCUGAAAUGCCCCAGGUGCAAUUUGACAGGAUUGAUGAUGAGGAUGUGGCCACAUGCAUCUCAAAGGACUAGUACCUCACGCCCAUUGUGACAUGGCUGGACCGGACAGAGAGGGACCUGAGCAACCACAGCAUCGUGGAAAUCCUGGAGGAGCAGAUGAAUGGCUUCUACAGGGUGUUCUCCAUCCUGAAAUACCCUGUCAAGUUAAAUGAGAAAUAUCUCUGCCACAUAACAGAGACAGAUGUGAACAACCAGCUCUUCAGAAUCAUCCACAAGUAUCCAAAUGGGAUAAAUAGUAUGAUAAUGGACAGACGGAGAGGGUAAACUUGAUGCUACACAAGAAGGGGAAGAAUUGCUGAGCAAUGACUUUCAGGAGGCAGAAGGAUAGGGUCUAAUGCACAAGUACAAGGUUUGCCUUAGGUUUGUAGAGGAAAGAGCAAGAAGGAUCCAGUUUAUGAAAGAUGUUGUAAAGAAAACCAGCACCACUUGAAAGGGCUAUGGAGGAAGUGUCCUCAGAGGGGAGCCAAGUUUCAGUUAGAAAACCAGAAGGUGAGGGAAAUGUUAACAGAAGCUCAGAGUAGAAGGGAUUUGUUGGUGAUUAAUAGCAAGUUCUAGAAGGCACAAUAGAAGGGUUUCAAAUGUUAGGUGUGGGUUUUGGGGUCAGAAAAGGGAAAGUACAGAGCCAUAUGGCUCAGAGUCCCUGAGAUGAAGGAUGAACUGGGGGUCUUGGGCUUCUUGUGGUUAAGUACGAAUUGGGGAAAAAUGUGAUGAGAUUAGAUUUGGAGGUCUCAAUACAAACCAUGAUGGUAAAGCUGUUGAUGUUGUGUGUGGGAGGCAGAGAGAAGGGGCAGGGAGGAGAGGCAAGGAUAUUGCCAAGAUUAGAGUUCUGAGGUACCAUUAUUCACUCUCAGUUAUAGAGGUGUAGAGGCCAGGGUGGAGCAGACUUAUCUAGAAUAAGGAAAACUCUGGAAGUCCCUUUGGAUUCAUAUGGAUUAUGGUGUGGAAGCUGGAGAAUGAGAAGCACGACAACAUAUUACAACUCAAGGGUGCUCUAUUCACAUAGACUCUAAUGUGAUGGGCACCCCUGGAGGAGUGCAGUGGGACUCCCCUGGAAAAACACACUCUAUAGUGCCUCAGAGUAUAUUUGCAAACUUAUUGCAUUGCUGAAAUUCAUUAUUAUUUAUCUUUUCACAAGAUUGUGAGUCUCUCAUAAGCAGGGAUGAAAUUCUCUCUUUUCUGGCUCCUGGCAUAUAUAAUAGGCUCUUGGAAUAUGCAUUAGCUCUUAAUUCCCAAGUCUUAUUAUCAUGGCUCCAGAGAUACAAAAUAACUUAGAACCUUGAAAUGGAAAUGUGCAACCCCUUGAUUCCUUUUCUUAGGGUACAUCAGGAGCAUCUUCCUCCCUUCUACUCCUGUGGGCUCACAAACUAACAAGCAAAGUCUACAGUCUUUCAUUGGCCUGGGAUAACUUCCUUGCAGAGCAUACUAGAAUGUGGUAGCAUUUGCUGACCUAAUGACAUCAGCUCCUCUUCCAUGUGUCUCAGUCCCAUAAGCCUAACAGACACAAGAGUGAGUGCUAGGCUACAGCCCAGGGCCUAGUUUGCUUCUGUUUCUCUUCUCUCUCUCUGAAAGUUAGUAAAAAUUUCAUCCCAUUCACUCCCCUUUUCUCUUUUCUCUAAUUCUUCCCCAACCAAUACUUGUUGAAUUAAUGAAUGGGUAAAUUAGAAUUUCAUCUUACAAAUGAAGGAGAACUGCGUAACAGUGAAUGAGUUGAGGGCUACCACUCUUAGGGAGAAGAAAGAAUUUACUUUGUACAGCUAUUCUUUCCUGUGUGACUUCAAGAAAUGCACUGUAGAUAAAUGUAGGAUCUGCCUCUAACACAAAACUCAGGCCUAUCCUGUUUUCUUUCUUUCUUUCUUUGCAGGGAGAAAGUAUCCCCAUACCUAUUAAGAGAUUUGAAUAACAUCUGCCCAAGAGUCUAAUCAUCUUGCCUUUAGCCACAGGUGCUCCUGGUUUUCUCUUGUGGAUAUUUUGUCCUAGACCCCUACCUAUCAUAAACAGAAAAAAGUAAGGUAGUAAUAGGUCGAGUAUGUUGCAUGUUGACAAAAACUAUAGAAGCUUCCACAUUUUGCCUCCCUUAGGUUUGUAUGUCAGAUCUUGUUUCUUUAUCUCUAUUUCUGUCUUUUAUUUAUAAGAUUUACUUUUAUUUUCUCUUAUGUAUCUCCCAUGUUAAAUUCUGAGUGAAAUUCAAAAAUUUUAAUUGCAAAAAUGAAAGAAGAUUAAAAGUCUAAUGA
rnacentral:lncRNA from 1 species